rnacentral:rRNA from 1 species
CGAACGGGUGAGUAACACGUGAGUAACCUGCCCCAGACUCUGGGAUAACCCCGGGAAACCGGAGCUAAUACCGGAUAUGACACGGAGAGGCAUCUCUAUCGUGUGGAAAGUUUUUCGGUCUGGGAUGGACUCGCGGCCUAUCAGCUUGUUGGUGAGGUAAUGGCUUACCAAGGCGACGACGGGUAGCCGGCCUGAGAGGGCGAUCGGCCACACUGGGACUGAGACACGGCCCAG